rnacentral:rRNA from 1 species
CAUGCAGUCGAGCGAUUUACUUCGGUAAAGAGCGGCGGACGGGUGAGUAACGCGUGGGUAACCUGCCUCAUACACAUGGAUAACAUACCGAAAGGUAUGCUAAUACAGGAUAAUAUAAGAGAUUCACAUGGAUUUUUUAUCAAAGCUCCGGCGGUAUGAGAUGGACCCGCGUCUGAUUAGCUAGUUGGUAAGGUAAUGGCUUACCAAGGCGACGAUCAGUAGCCGACCUGAGAGGGUGAUCGGCCACAUUGGAACUGAGACACGGUCCAAACUCCUACGGGAGGCAGCAGUGGGGAAUAUUGCACAAUGGGCGAAAGCCUGAUGCAGCAACGCCGCGUGAGUGAUGAAGGCCUUCGGGUCGUAAAACUCUGUCCUCAAGGAAGAUAAUGACGGUACUUGAGGAGGAAGCCCCGGCUAACUACGUGCCAGCAGCCGCGGUAAUACGUAGGGGGCUAGCGUUAUCCGGAUUUACUGGGCGUAAAGGGUGCGUAGGUGGUUUUUUAAGUCAGGAGUGAAAGGCUACGGCUCAACCGUAGUAAGCUCUUGAAACUGGAAAACUUGAGUGCAGGAGAGGAAAGUGGAAUUUCCUAGUGUAGCGGUGAAAUGCGUAGAUAUUAGGAGGAACACCAGUAGCGAAGGCGGCUUUCUGGACUGUAACUGACACUGAGCACGAAGCGGUGGGGGAGCAAACAGGAUAGAUACCUGGU